GGGCAUAUGGUAUAGCAGGUUCAUCACGCUCGCAUGAUAUAUACAUACACACUUCAAACAGUGCCAGUGAUCCCUGUGCGAGGAGUCGGUUCGAGUCCGAAUCUGUCCA